rnacentral:rRNA from 1 species
GACGAACGCUGGCGGCGUGCCUAAUACAUGCAAGUCGAACGCAGUGGGGACGGGUGAGUAACACGUGGGUAACCUCCCAUCAGAGGGGAUAACACUUGGAAACAGGUGCUAAACCGAUAUUGAUUGAUUGACCCGGUGUGGAUUAGCUAGUUGGUGAGGUAACGGCUCACCAAGGCCAAGAUGCAUAGCUGACCGGAGAGGGUGAUCCGCCACACUGGGACUGAGACACGGCCCAGACUCCUACGGGAGGCAGCAGUAGGGAAUCUUCGGCAAUGGACGAAAGUCUGACCGAGCAACGCCGCGUGAGUGAAGAAGGUUUUCGGAUCGUAAAACUCUGUUGUUGGAGAAGCGGUAUCUAACCAGAAAGCCACGGCUAACUACGUGCCAGCAGCCGCGGUAAUUC